GUCCACGCCGUAAACGAUGAGUGCUAGGUGCUGUUGGUAUUGACCCCCGCGGUGCCGCAGCCAACGCGUUAAGCACUCCGCCUGGGGAGUACGGCCGCAAGGCUAAAACUCAAAGGAAUUGACGGGGGCCCGCACAAGCGGUGGAGCAUGUGGUUCAAUUCGACGCAACGCGCAGAACCUUACCUGGGUUAAAUCCACUCAAAGCUGCCAGAGAUGGCGGGGUGCCCUUCGGGGAAUGAGUGAGACGGUGCUGCAUGGCUGUCGU
rnacentral:rRNA from 1 species